UCUGUGUACUGGAACAUUCAGUGAGAUUUGCCAGCACUGCUGAAUCUGCUGAUGUGCCACUCUCCUGUUCCGGAAAGAGGGACAGUUCUGUGUAAAAGAGAAACUAACGUUACGCAACAGGAACCAGCGACAUGGUUUGGAGCAGAGCUACUAACAAACAACACGGUGUUCCAGUAAGUGGGCGGGUCAAAUAUCAAAAUAGGGAGAUAAUUAGCUACAAUAGAGGUUUUGUGUUGACCGGUGAAGUCUCUUCCCAGAUACAGACGAGAGAAAGAGAAUGCUGUCUUCUCUGAUCCUGGAGAAAGCCUCUACAGAGUAGAUCUACAGCUUAGGAUAAUUAUUCUCAAUCUCAACAUAGAGACAAACCAAUGGAGCUGUGGAUCGCGACAUUACUCUGUUGACACUUUUGCCUGCUCUACCCGGCAAGUCUUGGAUUUUGAGAGAGGACUUUUGGAUUUUCAACAGAAUUCAGACUUUUGGUGCAGCAGAGCCAAGUGCUAAAGGACCGGCUGAAGUGGAAAGUGUAUCAGGAAACUUGGAACGUCAGAUAAAAGCCACGUACAGCUUUGGAGAUGAAGUCGAGCAGGUGGACACGCAGGCUGAUUUCCUGUUGGUGGUCACAUGGUCCGAAGGUGAAGGACACCUGGUAGUCUCUGGUGUCCAUCAUGUGUUUGUUCCACUUUGUGAAACUGCUGGAGAUGGACUGUAACACUGCAUGGACCUGAAGAAGCUCAGGGAGUGAUCCAAAUAUAUUUAAUUAAUUAUUCAUAUUUGAUUAGUAUCUUUUAAGCCGUAUAUUUUAUUUAUUAUAUCACAUAUAUUAAAUUGUUAUACUCAAUAAACAGAAACUCUCAAUCAACAUUAGCCUUUCCUACUCUGCUUAAUGUUAUAUACAUAUGACACAGAUUAAUUGUAUUAUUAUAAUAAGGUGUAAUAACUGUGAACAAUCUUGUAAUAUCUACUCAACACAAUAUGAGACAGGCCUGACCAUCCUGAUCCCACUGACCUUGGUGGUGAUGGUGAGUUGGGUAAUGAUGACUGCAACAGGGUUGGAGUAUUUAGACAGUUUCCUGGUGCUGGACAGUUCCACGACCUCCUCAUAAGAGUCAGUGGGGUAGUGCAGCCCGGGUCUGGGGUCUCCCAGGCACUGGAUCAGGGGCUCGAUCUGAUAGAAGUCAGCCUCCUUCCUGAGCAGCUUCCUCUCCUUGAAGUCGCACGGCAGCGUGAGCUCCGACGUCCGCAGGAAGUUGAGGACGUAGCUGAAACAGCAGAAACAGACGGGGUCAGUCCGGACUGCUGAGCUGAUGAGUCUGUAGAACUCUGAGCUGUCAGUUGACGUCGGGACCGGAGGGGAGAGAGCUGCUGUCCAUUCACACAGAUACUAACUCUAUCAGGGCGGGAAAAAGUUUGUUUUGGAUAUCCUGAAAGUUUAGUUGACUCCUGUGUUAGAGAAUAAUGUGAGUGUUGUUCUGUUUGUCAACAAAUCCUAUGAAAAAAACAAAAGGAUGCGUCUGUCUCUUUAUACUUCUUCACUUCACUUCCUUACUACGUAUGUGGCUUCAAAACCUGAGCUAAAGUUCCAACAGACGAUAAAUAUCUUUAAAAGUAGCUUCGAAAUAUAUAGUUUGCAUUGUACAUGUGGUGAUUGUAGAUAUAUCCUGAUAUAAAGAUCUAUCCUGUAAUGGACUGAGGAAGGCCUCUGGUGAUGAGCCUCAUCAGAAUGGCAAGGGUUUCCAAUCUAACAUUUACCGUGGUAGUUGGGUAACAUGCUAAUACUCAUUAGCAUUUAGCAUGUCAAACUGUAAAUGUGAAUAUCAAGUUUACCAGCUAGGUGUAGAUUUACUGUUUCCAAAAUGUGUAACCCGACCACACACAAACACACACACAAAAACAAACCGAAACAGUGGACCGUCGCGGUCGAUGAAAACGUUUCCAUGCGAGUCCUUCACUGUGGGGAAGUCUCCGCUGAACAUGGCUCCCAACAUGGAUUCUGGAUAA